AUUGAACGCUGGCGGCAGGCCUAACACAUGCAAGUCGAACGAGUGGCGCACGGGUGAGUAAUGUCUGGGACACUGCCCGAUGGAGGGGGAUAACUCCUGGAAACGGUAGCUACUACCGCAUACCCUCGUAUGUGCCCAUAGGGGAUUCGCUAGUAGGUGGGGUAACGGGUCACCUAGGCGACGAUCCCUAGCUGGUCUGAGAGGAUGACCAGCCACACUGGGACUGAGACACGGUCCAGACUCCUACGGGAGGCAGCAGUGGGGAAUAUUGCACAAUGGGCGCAAGCCUGAUGCAGCCAUGCCGCGUGUAUGAAGAAGGCCUUAGGGUUGUAAAGUACUUUAAGUGGGGAGGCGUUACUCGCAGAAGAAGCACCGGCUAACUCCGUGCCAGCAGCCGCGGUAAUUC
rnacentral:rRNA from 1 species